rnacentral:rRNA from 1 species
AUUGAACGCUGGCGGCAGGCUUAACACAUGCAAGUCGAGCGGGGUGAUGGUGCUUGCACUAUCACUUAGCGGCGGACGGGUGAGUAAUGCUUAGGAAUCUGCCUAUUAGUGGGGGACAACAUCUCGAAAGGGAUGCUAAUACCGCAUACGUCCUACGGGAGAAAGCAGGGGAUCACUUGUGACCUUGCGCUAAUAGAUGAGCCUAAGUCGGAUUAGCUAGUUGGUGGGGUAAAGGCCUACCAAGGCGACGAUCUGUAGCGGGUCUGAGAGGAUGAUCCGCCACACUGGGACUGAGACACGGCCCAGACUCCUACGGGAGGCAGCAGUGGGGAAUAUUGGACAGUGGGGGGAACCCUGAUCCAGCCAUGCCGCGUGUGUGAAGAAGGCCUUAUGGUUGUAAAGCACUUUAAGCGAGGAGGAGGCUCUUUUGGUUAGUACCUAGAGACAGUGGACGUUACUCGCAGAAUAAGCACCGGCUAACUCUGUGCCAGCCGCCGCUGUAA